AAGCCGUGACUACAACGCGAGGAGUACCGCCAAGGUAUGACCUGUGAUUGGGGUG
rnacentral:rRNA from 1 species